UUUCACAAUAGUUAUUUAAAAAACGGUGCUGCAAAAAGUGAACUUUCUCAUGCCUCAUUUGGGUGGCGUCUGAAGGGUCUUUUUUUCACUGGUUCACUAGUGGUCUUACUUUUCGUCACUAGUUACGAAAAGUAAACUACUUGUCACCACUAAUCACGAAAAGUAAAGUACUUUUCGUCAUAAGUGACGAAAAGUAACUAGUGUUAACGAAAUGGAUUAAUAGAUUGAUAAAAUUCGGAAUAAAUUGGCCAUGAAUUAAUCAA